rnacentral:lncRNA from 1 species
AUGGAGUUUACAUUCUAGUGAGUUGAGAGCAAAUCAUUUCUUGACCGUACCUGAGGGACAAGGUCUGUUAGAAAAGGGAAGCCCAUUAUCCACUCUACCAUUCCAAUCUGGCAGUGCUUGAUUCAGUGUGAUAACUUGCAGCAACAUGAUAGGGAUCACAAGGCCACAAGAGUGGGGCAGUGACACAAGAGAGAUGAGUAAUCUGGGCUUUAUGUUUCUCAUCAGCAUUGCUUUGCACUUUGGAUCAAAUCUUGACGUGGAUUGUCAGCCUCUCUUCAACCUCAAAAAGCUCCUAGCACGAAGCAGAUCAGCCGAGGAUAUGGGUAAGUAUCUGAUAUGGACUCUCCAUAUUGUUCAGAGUGUGUAAUAAGUGCCUGGAUUUAUUGAUAUAUCCCUUUGAGUCUUAGGAAAUGUGGCAUCCUCAAGCAUGCCCUGUUGAAAGUCAAGUUGCUUUGAUAGAGCUAAUAGUUUAAACUACUAUCAGAUUGCUCCUUCGGGGGCAGGAAGCAGUGGUAUUUAUGGCAGUGGAUAAGACCAGAGCCCCCUGGGACAAGGUACAAGAGAAGAACCUUGUGCAGAUUUCAGGAGGGAGGAGGCAGGGCUCUCAGUAGGCCUGCUCUGACUGGUGGUUAUGUCAAGCCACAGUCAUGGAGGGGGAGACCCCAGUGCAUAGGCCUGGCUUUUUUUCCCCCCAUCUUUCUUUUUGCUCCACAUUCCUUUCCCUCCUUCUGCCUCAGGCAAAUCAGCACUUGGAAAAAUCUGUUUGAUAGACAUCUUCCCUUUGCUCCUCUUUACUCUCCCUCAGUUCUGUUCUUUACUCUGCUCUGUGCCCUGGGAGGCUAGCGUCUGUUGGGUAUUCCGCUGGAGAGCAUGGGCAGCAAACCAGAAGAAAAGAGGAUGAUGUCUCGUAUUUAUUCUCCUGGUUCUCACUCUGUGGGGUUGUAAAGAGUGAACCUAGACCAAAACUCCAGAGUCCCUGGCACCUGGCUUCUUGUUUUCUUUCCAUCUCCCUCUUUCUCUCUCCCUUUUUUCUGGUAAGUACACCCUAACUUUACCUUCCAGGCCUUGGGAUGUAAGUUCCCCACAGUAGAACACUAUUCCUUGUGGUUUCCCAAAUCCUUCUCUACACCUUUGUAAAUAUGCAUUUAUUAAACUCACGUUGAAUUACCCAAUCUGAGUGUGCCAUCUGUUUUCUGCUGGAAUCCUGACUGACUCAACCUCUUAUCUUACAGGGAGACACAACUGAUGUCAUGUGCUUUGGAAAGAGUUAAAUAUCUGGUUUGGGAGCUCCUUAUAUGAACAUUUUAUAAUGAAAGUCUAGGUGUUCUUUGUAGCCAUCAGGUAAACAUUUUCUGAAGCCCUAUUUGCAAAUGGAAUCCUUUGUAAAAUUCCAACUAGAAGAGGUGUCAUUAACCAUGCUCAUUAUGUAUAGAGGAAGAAGUGGGUUUCUUCUUCUUAUCAAACCAUUAUUAAAUAUUUCUCUCCAAAUACACAUCAAUUUUUUUUCUUCAAUGCCUGCUCAAGACUCUAAGUCAAUGUCUUGUGGAGGAAACGUCUGAAAAGUCAAGACUUUAUUCUUCAGCCUGCCUGGCUCCUCCACAUUUGAAAGAAAGAAAUUCGACUGUGCCAAUGAAACAACUUUAGUAAACUUAUUGUUUUCAAUGCUGGAGUUGUAUGUGACCUUUGGAGUAGAAUAGGAUAUAAUUCCAUUUCUCUAGCAGACUGACCGCUUCCUCAUCGUCUUUGAACACUAUGUGCUGCCCCCAGCAAAAGACUGGGAGGAGGGAAAGGAGACUGUAGGCAGCAGCAGAGCCUUUUAAAACAGAGGAGACAAAAGUAAAGAAUUUGCUGGGGCACAGGUAAUCAUACCCCAAUCUGUGGCUAGACCAGCUGGCAGCUGGGCUCACGCCCAGUACACAGGCUAUCAAAACCAAGACAAAAACACCCUUAUAGAACUCAAAUUUUGACUCGACUUUGAUGACAUUAUAAUUUUUCUUCCCCAAUGACAGAGUAGAUUGGGAAAACUGUCUGAACUUCCACUUGAUGUUUGAAUUACCUAAUCCCCUCUCAAAUCACAUAGGAAGAUCUUCAAAUUGUGAAAGUCUGACAAUGGGCCAAGUCAACAGCCAAGAGCAGCUCUUCAGAGUUUUCCUCUGAAGUCUGGAGGAAGCAAAAGUCUUGUUAGUAAAGGUUCGGGUACAGCUCCUGAAAUGGCCCCUGCUUCACACUCUGGCUUUGCUCAGCUUCAGGAGUUCAGACUUGUUAGGCUUCUUUUGGAAGGAUUUUACUCUGCUCUGCCCUUUUGUGUAAUGAUUUAGGCCCAGGGGUUCUGGACUGAGAUUAUCCAGCACCGGAUUCAAGUGCUGACAUCAUUUACCUCCAUGUGACCUUAGGUAAGUCACUUGACCUCUUGUUUCCUCAGUUUCCUAUCUGUAAAAUUAUGAUAAAAAUAAUGCCUAAUUCUUAAGAUUGUCACAAUAAUUAAAUGAGAUAAUGAAUUUAUUAAAGUUAAAUGAAAACUCAUUGAAAGUUAUGAAAUGAGUUAUGUAUGAAAUGCUUUUAGAAUUGAGCCUGGCACAUGGUAAGUACUCAAUAAAUGUGAACAAUUCAUCAUCAUCACUGUGUAAAGGGUUCAGCAUUUUGUAAAGUGUUUAGAAAUAUUAGCCAUUUUUAUCAUUAUUUCCCCAGAUUUUGCUAUCCUAGCCAUGUUGUGUGUUUAUCAAUAAGUUGUCAGAAUAACAUUUUUUACUAAUUCCUUUUCCACAACAGUAUGUGCUCAGUUAGCAACGAUUCACUGUUGAUUGAAAAUCUUGACGGUAACUGUAUUUUCUUUUUUCCAGGUGGAAAUGUUCUGCUCGCCUCUUGAUUGUUCAGGGGAUAAAAUGAGGACAUCAUAAAAGAGAUGUGUGUGGGAUGAGUUUCUCAAUAAAACUGCUUUUAUACCCUGCUUCUCACUCUUUUUGUGUUUCUGGAGCAUUUGCUUUUGGCAUGUAAUAUUUAACUCCAGUUAUUCACAUGAUAAGUAUUU